rnacentral:tRNA from 1 species
AUUAUGAUAUUCCAGUGGUAGAAUUCUCGCUUUCCAUGCGAGAGAUCUGGGUUCAAUUUCUAGCCAAUGUA